UACGGAGGAUGCAAGCGUUAUCCGGAAUGACUGGGCGUAAAGCGUCCGCAGGUGGCUAUGUAAGUCUGCUGUUAAAGAGUGAGGCUCAACCUCAUAAGAGCAGUGGAAACUACAUAGCUAGAGUGCGUUCGGGGCAGAGGGAAUUCCUGGUGUAGCGGUGAAAUGCGUAGAUAUCAGGAAGAACACCGGUGGCGAAAGCGCUCUGCUAGGCCGCAACUGACAUUGAGGGACGAAAGCUAGGGGAGCGAAUGGG
rnacentral:rRNA from 1 species